rnacentral:rRNA from 1 species
GGGUUCGAUUCCGGAGAGGGAGCCUGAGAAACGGCUACCACAUCCAAGGAAGGCAGCAGGCGCGCAAAUUACCCAAUCCCAAUACGGGGAGGUAGUGACAAUAAAUAACAAUAUGGGGCUCUUACGGGUCUCGUAAUUGGAAUGAGUACAAUUUAAAUCUCUUAACGAGGAACAAUUGGAGGGCAAGUCUGGUGCCAGCAGCCGCGGUAAUCCCAGCUCCAAUAGCGUAUAUUAAAGUUGUUGCAGUUAAAAAGCUCGUAGUUGAAUUUCGGAGUUUGUCGGUUGGUCGGGCUUCACUGUCCGCACUGGCCUGAUGGAUUCCUACCUUCUGAAUAACCAGCAUGCUAUUAAGUUAGUGCGUUGGGGAAGCAGAGCUAUUACCUUGAAAAAAUUAGAGUGCUUAAAGCAGGCUUAUGCUUGAAUAGAUUAGCAUGGAAUAAUAAAAUAGGACGGCAUGGUUCUAUUUUGUUGGUUUCUAGGAUCACCGUAAUGAUUAAUAGGGAUAGUUGGGGGCAUUAGUAUUCAAUUGUCAGAGGUGAAAUUCUUGGAUUUAUUGAAGACUAACUUCUGCGAAAGCAUUUGCCAAGGAUGUUUUCAUUAAUCAAGAACGAAAGUUAGGGGAUCGAAGACGAUCAGAUACCGUCGUAGUCUUAACCAUAAACUAUGCCGACUAGGGAUCGGACGAUGUUAAUUUUUUAAUGACUCGUUCGGCGCCUUACGGGAA